AACCAUAGAAACCUGCGGAGUACCUGCGGAAGGAUCAUUACCGAGUGAGGGCCCUCCGGGUCCAACCUCCCACCCGUGUUUAACGAACCUUGUUGCUUCGGCGGGCCCGCCUCACGGCCGCCGGGGGGCACCCCGCCCCCGGGCCCGCGCCCGCCGAAGACACCUGUGAACGCUGUCUGAAGUUGCAGUCUGAGACACUAGCUCAAUCAGUUAAAACUUUUAGCAACGGAUCUCAGAUCG
rnacentral:misc_RNA from 1 species